ensembl:lncRNA
AUGGAGGCUGCUGGCUGGGUGUGCCUCUAUCUGCUCUGUUUGCAAGGCAGCUUGCUCCAGCUAACACAUGGCACAGACUGCUCUGGGACAACACAGGGGGAGGACUGUGUCAGACCAACUACCCUAGGAAAGAAUGAGGUGUCGGUGCGGUUGAGACCAUCAGUUCCAAAAAAGAGCCGUGACCCAACAAAGACACAGAGAGGAAAUCCGGGGGCGUACUCCGCAAUUGGCAUGUCGACGGAUGACAAUGAGUCGUCGGACAUGCUGUUGGACAGACAGAAGAGGCAGUUAGGAAAGCACGACAGCCUUCCUGGGUCCGUCUCAGCCAAGGGCUUCCCCAACACUCUCAUCCAAGUUCAGGCAGACCGAGCCAGGAGACACUUGGGUCAGUCUGGCACCAAGAAGAAAAACAAGUGGAAAUCCAGAGUUGGCUCCUUUUCUCUGCUCAGCAACAACAACCCCAGCGCUUCUCUGCAGGUGACCAGAGUACGAAGGCAGGUGCAGAAGGACAAGAAUAGGAACUCUAGAAAACGGCCAGGAAUGUACACCCUUCUGGGAGAACCAGAAAAACAGCCACCAAUAAAACCUGCACCCUUGGUGAGACCCAAUCCCCCUAUCCCUCACACUCACCUGAGUCAAUCAGCCAAUCAAUCAAUAGCUUUUUAUAUCAGUGGGAAAUUCUGUUUGCAGGCCGGGUAA